GUUAAGCGACUAAGCGUACACGGUGGAUGCCCUGGCAGUCAGAGGCGAUGAAGGACGUGCUAAUCUGCGAUAAGCGUCGGUAAGGUGAUAUGAACCGUUAUAACCGGCGAUUUCCGAAUGGGGAAACCCAGUGUGAUUCGUCACACUAUCAUUAACUGAAUCCAUAGGUUAAUGAGGCGAACCGGGGGAACUGAAACAUCUAAGUACCCCGAGGAAAAGAAAUCAACCGAGAUUCCCCCAGUAGCGGCGAGCGAACGGGGAGCAGCCCAGAGCCUGAAUCAGUGUGUGUGUUAGUGGAAGCGUCUGGAAAGGCGCGCGAUACAGGGUGACAGCCCCGUACACAAAAAUGCACAUGCUGUGAGCUCGAUGAGUAGGGCGGGACACGUGGUAUCCUGUCUGAAUAUGGGGGGACCAUCCUCCAAGGCUAAAUACUCCUGACUGACCGAUAGUGAACCAGUACCGUGAGGGAAAGGCGAAAAGAACCCCGGCGAGGGGAGUGAAAAAGAACCUGAAACCGUGUACGUACAAGCAGUGGGAGCACGCUUAGGCGUGUGACUGCGUACCUUUUGUAUAAUGGGUCAGCGACUUAUAUUCUGUAGCAAGGUUAACCGAAUAGGGGAGCCGAAGGGAAACCGAGUCUUAACUGGGCGUUAAGUUGCAGGGUAUAGACCCGAAACCCGGUGAUCUAGCCAUGGGCAGGUUGAAGGUUGGGUAACACUAACUGGAGGACCGAACCGACUAAUGUUGAAAAAUUAGCGGAUGACUUGUGGCUGGGGGUGAAAGGCCAAUCAAACCGGGAGAUAGCUGGUUCUCCCCGAAAGCUAUUUAGGUAGCGCCUCGUGAAUUCAUCUCCGGGGGUAGAGCACUGUUUCGGCAAGGGGGUCAUCCCGACUUACCAACCCGAUGCAAACUGCGAAUACCGGAGAAUGUUAUCACGGGAGACACACGGCGGGUGCUAACGUCCGUCGUGAAGAGGGAAACAACCCAGACCGCCAGCUAAGGUCCCAAAGUCAUGGUUAAGUGGGAAACGAUGUGGGAAGGCCCAGACAGCCAGGAUGUUGGCUUAGAAGCAGCCAUCAUUUAAAGAAAGCGUAAUAGCUCACUGGUCGAGUCGGCCUGCGCGGAAGAUGUAACGGGGCUAAACCAUGCACCGAAGCUGCGGCAGCGACACUGUGUGUUGUUGGGUAGGGGAGCGUUCUGUAAGCCUGCGAAGGUGUGCUGUGAGGCAUGCUGGAGGUAUCAGAAGUGCGAAUGCUGACAUAAGUAACGAUAAAGCGGGUGAAAAGCCCGCUCGCCGGAAGACCAAGGGUUCCUGUCCAACGUUAAUCGGGGCAGGGUGAGUCGACCCCUAAGGCGAGGCCGAAAGGCGUAGUCGAUGGGAAACAGGUUAAUAUUCCUGUACUUGGUGUUACUGCGAAGGGGGGACGGAGAAGGCUAUGUUGGCCGGGCGACGGUUGUCCCGGUUUAAGCGUGUAGGCUGGUUUUCCAGGCAAAUCCGGAAAAUCAAGGCUGAGGCGUGAUGACGAGGCACUACGGUGCUGAAGCAACAAAUGCCCUGCUUCCAGGAAAAGCCUCUAAGCAUCAGGUAACAUCAAAUCGUACCCCAAACCGACACAGGUGGUCAGGUAGAGAAUACCAAGGCGCUUGAGAGAACUCGGGUGAAGGAACUAGGCAAAAUGGUGCCGUAACUUCGGGAGAAGGCACGCUGAUACGUAGGUGAAGUCCCUCGCGGAUGGAGCUGAAAUCAGUCGAAGAUACCAGCUGGCUGCAACUGUUUAUUAAAAACACAGCACUGUGCAAACACGAAAGUGGACGUAUACGGUGUGACGCCUGCCCGGUGCCGGAAGGUUAAUUGAUGGGGUCAGCGCAAGCGAAGCUCUUGAUCGAAGCCCCGGUAAACGGCGGCCGUAACUAUAACGGUCCUAAGGUAGCGAAAUUCCUUGUCGGGUAAGUUCCGACCUGCACGAAUGGCGUAAUGAUGGCCAGGCUGUCUCCACCCGAGACUCAGUGAAAUUGAACUCGCUGUGAAGAUGCAGUGUACCCGCGGCAAGACGGAAAGACCCCGUGAACCUUUACUAUAGCUUGACACUGAACAUUGAGCCUUGAUGUGUAGGAUAGGUGGGAGGCUUUGAAGUGUGGACGCCAGUCUGCAUGGAGCCGACCUUGAAAUACCACCCUUUAAUGUUUGAUGUUCUAACGUUGACCCGUAAUCCGGGUUGCGGACAGUGUCUGGUGGGUAGUUUGACUGGGGCGGUCUCCUCCUAAAGAGUAACGGAGGAGCACGAAGGUUGGCUAAUCCUGGUCGGACAUCAGGAGGUUAGUGCAAUGGCAUAAGCCAGCUUGACUGCGAGCGUGACGGCGCGAGCAGGUGCGAAAGCAGGUCAUAGUGAUCCGGUGGUUCUGAAUGGAAGGGCCAUCGCUCAACGGAUAAAAGGUACUCCGGGGAUAACAGGCUGAUACCGCCCAAGAGUUCAUAUCGACGGCGGUGUUUGGCACCUCGAUGUCGGCUCAUCACAUCCUGGGGCUGAAGUAGGUCCCAAGGGUAUGGCUGUUCGCCAUUUAAAGUGGUACGCGAGCUGGGUUUAGAACGUCGUGAGACAGUUCGGUCCCUAUCUGCCGUGGGCGCUGGAGAACUGAGGGGGGCUGCUCCUAGUACGAGAGGACCGGAGUGGACGCAUCACUGGUGUUCGGGUUGUCAUGCCAAUGGCACUGCCCGGUAGCUAAAUGCGGAAGAGAUAAGUGCUGAAAGCAUCUAAGCACGAAACUUGCC
rnacentral:rRNA from 1 species